rnacentral:rRNA from 1 species
GACGAACGCUGGCGGCGUGCCUAAUACAUGCAAGUCGAGCGAAUGACGAGAAGCUUGCUUCUCUGAUUUAGCGGCGGACGGGUGAGUAACACGUGGGCAACCUGCCCUACAGAUCGGGAUAACUCAGGGAAACCUGGGCUAAUGCCGGGUAAUCCUUCGAAUCACAUGUUUUGAAGUUGAAAUGCUCUCCGGCGUCACUGUAGGAUGGGCCGGCGGUGCAUUAGCUAGUCGGUGGGGUAACGGCCUACCAAGGCAACGAUGCAUAGCCGACCUGAGAGGGUGAUCGGCCACAUUGGGACUGAGACACGGCCCAAACUCCUACGGGAGGCAGCAGUAGGGAAUCUUCCACAAUGGACGAAAGUCUGAUGGAGCAACGCCGCGUGAGUGAUGAAGGUUUUCGGAUCGUAAAACUCUGUUGUAAGGGAAGAACAAGUACGUUAGGAAAUGAACGUACCUUGACGGUACCUUAUUAGAAAGCCACGGCUAACUACGUGCCAGCAGCCGCAGUAA